CGGCGUCUGCCUGGCCGGCGUACCGUCACACCACCCGGGCCGAGCUGCAGUCCUCUCCUUCCUCCUACCUUUUGACUCCCCCUUUUCGUGCCCCUGCGGCUAUUCAGUUUCUAAGGAAAUCAGUUUCCUUUGGAAACUUUGAAACUGGACUCGGAGCUCAGGACGAACAAACCAAGGAAAAUCCCUAGCAAAUCGCGGACUUAGGUACUGCGGGGAAACGAUGGAAACGUGUAGUGGCGAGGAAUUUCACUUUAAUAUUAUUCACCUAGUUUAUGCUUAAUGUUUUAAUAGUUUAGUUAAAGAUUGUUAGUGAGUUAUGUACUUUUACUUUGGGAAUAUAAAAGGAUUAUUAUGUUAAUUUUGGAGGAUUUAAUGGCUUAUGUUAUGGUGUUGCCUUGUAAUUCCCAAGAGGGAGUUACGGCAGUAAUGUCCCGACCGAAUUAGGUUAAUUCCGCUGCUAAGUAUGCUUUAAUACUUGAAUUGGAGGUCGGGGCGUUACAAAUAUACUCCUUAUUAAUUACAUAAUUUACCUUUUCUUUCAAGUAUUUUAUUAUGCCACAUUU